ACAUACUGCAAAGAAAAUUUAUAAAAUUAUUAAUUAUAUACCUUUUGCAUAAUGGUUUAACAAUAUUAUAAAAAAAAUUUUUUUUUCCCGAAGUUAGAAGAUCUAAUUUUACAUAAUUAUAGAGUUACAAUAUAAUGUUUCAUAAUUAUAUAAAAAUAUAAAAUUAGGAGUGAAAGGCUUAUCAAUUCUAAGGAUAUCUGGAAUAAUUUUAAAUGUAUUUAGUACAGAAUUAAAUUUAAAUAAAAAAAUGUUAAGAUUUUAUUAAAUAUAGUAUAUUAAAUCUUCAUAUAAUAUGAAUUAAUCUUCCGAUACGUUAAUAUUAUAAUAAUAAUUUAUUUAAUUAUAUCUUUUUAUUAAAAUUAUUUUUACUUCAAUUAUCUAGUAAAUAAAUAAUGUUAAAAUUAGUAAUUAUAAUAUAUUUUACUAAGGAACUCGGCAAAUUUAUUAUUCAACUGUUUAUCAAGAACCUGCCCAUUGAUUUUAAAAUAAUUUAACGGCCGCAGUACCUUGACUGUGCUAAGGUAGCAUAAUAAAUUGACUUUUAAUUGGGGCCUUGAAUGAAUGGAUUAAUGGAUAAUUUCUGUCUUAGUAAAAUUUAAAUUAAAUUAUUUAAAAGGUGAAAAUUCCUUUAUUUUAUAUAAUAGACGAGAAGACCCUAGGAGUUUAAUUUUUUUUUGUUGGGGCGACAAUAUAACAUAUAACUUAUAUAUUUAUAAUUAUUUUAUAAAACAAAUUAUUUUAAUAUUAAUAAAACUACCCUAGGGAUAACAGCAUAAUUUUUUAAAAGUUUGUGACCUCGAUGUUGGACUAGGAACUCUCAAUAUUAACAAUAUUGAUUGACAGUUCUGUUCGA
rnacentral:rRNA from 1 species